rnacentral:rRNA from 1 species
UACAGAGGUCUCAAGCGUUGUUCGGAUUCAUUGGGCGUAAAGGGUGUGUAGGUGGCGCCGUAAGUCGGGUGUGAAAUUUCGGAGGCUUAACUCCGAAACUGCAUUCGAUACUGCGGUGCUUGAGGACUGGAGAGGAGACUGGAAUUUAUGGUGUAGCAGUGAAAUGCGUAGAGAUCAUGAGGAAGACCAGUGGCGAAGGCGGGUCUCUGGACAGUUCCUGACACUGAGACACGAAGGCCAGGGGAGCAAACGGG